rnacentral:rRNA from 1 species
CCUUAGAGUUUGAUCCUGGCUCAGAUUGAACGCUGGCGGCAGGCCUAACACAUGCAAGUCGAACGGUAACAUUUCUAGCUUGCUAGAAGAUGACGAGUGGCGGACGGGUGAGUAAUGCUUGGGAACUUGCCUUUGCGAGGGGGAUAACAGUUGGAAACGACUGCUAAUACCGCAUAAUGUCUUCGGACCAAACGGGGCUUCGGCUCCGGCGCAAAGAGAGGCCCAAGUGAGAUUAGCUAGUUGGUAAGGUAACGGCUUACCAAGGCGACGAUCUCUAGCUGUUCUGAGAGGAAGAUCAGCCACACUGGGACUGAGACACGGCCCAGACUCCUACGGGAGGCAGCAGUGGGGAAUAUUGCACAAUGGGGGAAACCCUGAUGCAGCCAUGCCGCGUGUGUGAAGAAGGCCUUCGGGUUGUAAAGCACUUUCAGUUGUGAGGAAAAGUUAGUAGUUAAUACCUGCAGCCGUGACGUAC